rnacentral:rRNA from 1 species
GUGGGGAAUAUUGGACAAUGGGCGAAAGCCUGAUCCAGCCAUGCCGCGUGUGUGAAGAAGGUCUUCGGAUUGUAAAGCACUUUAAGUUGGGAGGAAGGGCAGUAAGUUAAUACCUUGCUGUUUUGACGUUACCGACAGAAUAAGCACCGGCUAACUUCGUGCCAGCAGCCGCGGUAAUACGAAGGGUGCAAGCGUUAAUCGGAAUUACUGGGCGUAAAGCGUGCGUAGGUGGUUCAGUAAGUUGGAAGUGAAAUCCCCGGGCUCAACCUGGGAACUGCUUUCAGAACUGCUGAGCUAGAGUACGGUAGAGGGUGGUGGAAUUUCCUGUGUAGCGGUGAAAUGCGUAGAUAUAGGAAGGAACACCAGUGGCGAAGGCGACCACCUGGACUGAUACUGACACUGAGGUGCGAAAGCGUGGGGAGCAAACAGGAUUAGAAACCCCGGUAGUCC